rnacentral:tRNA from 1 species
GGUGGCUCAGGGGGAGAGUGCUUGCCUUGCAUGCAAGAGGCCCUGGGUUCGAUUCCUUAGUACCA